GGCUCGGUGGUGUAGUUGGUUAUCACGUCAGUCUAACAUACCCGUUAGACCACUGAAGGUCCCGAGUUCAAACCUCGGCUGAGUCA